UGGGGAAUAUUGGACAAUGGGGGCAACCCUGAUCCAGCCAUGCCGCGUGUGUGAAGAAGGCCUUUUGGUUGUAAAGCACUUUAAGCAGUGAAGAAGACUCCAUGGUUAAUACCCAUGGACGAUGACAUUAGCUGCAGAAUAAGCACCGGCUAACUCUGUGCCAGCAGCCGCGGUAAUACAGAGGGUGCAAGCGUUAAUCGGAAUUACUGGGCGUAAAGCGAGCGUAGGUGGCUUGAUAAGUCAGAUGUGAAAGCCCCGGGCUUAACCUGGGAACGGCAUCUGAUACUGUUAGGCUAGAGUAGGUGAGAGGAAGGUAGAAUUCCAGGUGUAGCGGUGAAAUGCGUAGAGAUCUGGAGGAAUACCGAUGGCGAAGGCAG
rnacentral:rRNA from 1 species